rnacentral:rRNA from 1 species
GCAUAUCAAUAAGCGGAGGAAAAGAAACCAACAGGGAUUGCCCUAGUAACGGCGAGUGAAGCGGCAACAGCUCAAAUUUGAAAUCUGGCGCAAGCCCGAGUUGUAAUUUGUAGAGGAUGCUUCAGGGCAGCGGCCGGUCUAAGUUCCUUGGAACAGGACGUCGUAGAGGGUGAGAAUCCCGUAUGCGACCGGUUGGCACCCGUCACGUAGCUCCUUCGACGAGUCGAGUUGUUUGGGAAUGCAGCUCUAAAUGGGAGGUAAAUUUCUUCUAAAGCUAAAUACCGGCCAGAGACCGAUAGCGCACAAGUAGAGUGAUCGAAAGAUGAAAAGCACUUUGGAAAGAGAGUUAAAAAGCACGUGAAAUUGUUGAAAGGGAAGCGCAUGCAACCAGACUUGUCGGCGGUGUUCCGCCGGUCUUCUGACCGGUCCAUUCGCCGCCGGCAGGCCAGCAUCAUCUGGGCGCGCCGGACAAAGGCGUGGGGAAUGUAGCUCCUCGGAGCGUUAUAGCCCCGCGCACAAUACGGCGCCGCCCGGGUGAGGUCCGCGCUUCGGCUAGGAUGCUGGCGUAAUGGUUGUCUGCGGCCCGUCUUGAAACACGGACCAAGGAGUCUAACAUCUAUGCGAGUGUUCGGGUGUCAAACCCCUACGCGUAAUGAAAGUGAACGGAGGUGGGAAGCGCAAGCUGCACCAUCGACCGAUCCUGAUGUCUUCGGAUGGAUUUGAGUAAGAGCAUAGCUGUUGGGACCCGAAAGAUGGUGAACUAUGCCUGAAUAGGGUGAAGCCAGAGGAAACUCUGGUGGAGGCUCGCAGCGGUUCUGACGUGCAAAUCGAUCGUCAAAUUUGGGUAUAGGGGCGAAAGACUAAUC